UUGCCAUGAUGUAAGAAUUUCUUCACCUGAUUCUACUGUGAAGAGUAAAUUUGAGCUUUUUAACCCUGAGCAAU